AGUGAACGCUGGCGGUAGGCCUAACACAUGCAAGUCGAACGGCAGCACAGUAAGAGCUUGCUCUUACGGGUGGCGAGUGGCGGACGGGUGAGGAAUACAUCGGAAUCUACUUUUUCGUGGGGGAUAACGUAGGGAAACUUACGCUAAUACCGCAUACGACCUACGGGUGAAAGCAGGGGAUCUUCGGACCUUGCGCGAGUGAAUGAGCCGAUGUCGGAUUAGCUAGUUGGCGGGGUAAAGGCCCACCAAGGCGACGAUCCGUAGCUGGUCUGAGAGGAUGAUCAGCCACCCUGGAAGUGAGACACGGUCCAGACUCCUACGGGAGGCAGCAGUCGGGAAUAUUGGACAAUGGGCGCAAGCCUGAUCCAGCAAUACCGCGUGGGUGAAGAAGGCCUUCGGGUUGUAAAGCCCUUUUGUUGGGAAAGAAAAGCAGCAGGUUAACACCCCGCUGUUCUGACGGUACCCAAAGAAUAAGCACCGGCUAACUUCGUG
rnacentral:rRNA from 1 species